rnacentral:rRNA from 1 species
UACGGGGGGGUGCAAACGUUGCUCGGAAUUAUUGGGCGUAAAGCGCACGUAGGCGGUCUACUAAGUCGGGUGUGAAAGCCCUGGGCUCAACCCCAGGAAGUGCAUUCGAAACUGAUAGGCUUGAGUACGGAAGAGGGUCUCGGAAUUCCCGGUGUAGUGGUGGAAUGCGUAGAUAUCGGGAGGAACACCAGUGGCGAAGGCGGCGUCCUGGCGAGUGACUGACGCUGAGGUGCGAAAGCCAGGGGAGCGAACGGG